rnacentral:rRNA from 1 species
AUUGAACGCUGGCGGCAUGCCUUACACAUGCAAGUCGAACGGUGAAGCAGGAGCUUGCUCUUGUGGAUCAGUGGCGAACGGGUGAGUAACACGUGAGCAACCUGCCCCUGACUCUGGGAUAAGCGCUGGAAACGGCGUCUAAUACUGGAUAUGUGAUGUGACCGCAUGGUCUGCAUCUGGAAAGAAUUUCGGUUGGGGAUGGGGUCGCGGCCUAUCAGCUUGUUGGUGAGGUAAUGGCUCACCAAGGCGUCGACGGGGAGCCGGCCGGGGAGGGUGACCGGCCACACUGAGACUGAGACACGGCCCAGACUCCUACGGGAGGCAGCAGUGGGGAAUAUUGCACAGUGGGCGGAAGCCUGAUGCAGCAACGCCGCGUGAGGGAUGACGGCCUUCGGGUUGUAAACCUCUUUUAGCAGGGAAGAAGCGAAAGUGACGGUACCUGCAGAAAAAGCACCGGCUAACUACGUGCCAGCCGCCGCAGUAA